CGUCAGAAGGGAUCGUAGAGGUUUGUGUAAACGGGACCCGGGGACACGUGUGCGGUUUCUCCUGGGACAUUCCGGAUGCCAAUGUCGUCUGCACAAAUCUUGGUUUUAUCAGAGCGGUUCGAUCAUUUACUAGAAGACAAAGCGAACUAGGCUACAAUGAGACAGUUCUCUAUAAGCCGUUUUGCGAAGGGGACGAAGCCAGUCUGUUUAACUGCCCACAUGACGUCACAGGUGAUUGCAUCAUGGAAGAAGCGGGAGGAGUGGAGUGUUCAAAUGACGAGAUCUGUAUUCCGGGCGUGUGUGAAGGAGACCCAGAAAUCGAAGAACCUAUUUGUGAACCGCUGACAAAACACUGUAUUAUCCUAUUCUGGAAUGAUAGGCUUCAUUGUUCUAACCUGCACCUAGAACUGUUCUCUCUGACGUGUCUGUAAGUAUCAUGUUGCAAGAAUCUGUUUACAGAAGUCCUUCUUCAUCAUUAACAGUAGGGUUUGAAGCGUAAAAACGUUUAGAUUCGCAAAUGCCGGGGUAUACAAUGGUAAUCAGUAGGAGGUUUAGGGUUUUACGGCAAGGAUCAUAAGUCCGAAAAAUGUUGUGGGCAGAAAAAACUAAACCAAACCAAACCAAACAAGACAAAAGGUUAUCCUUUUCGGUGUGCCGUUUUGGCUAAAAAAUACUCUGAUAAGCCGCA